rnacentral:rRNA from 1 species
AUUGAACGCUGGCGGCAGGCCUAACACAUGCAAGUCGAGCGCGCGGCGGACGGGUGUGUAAUGUCUGGGAAAAUGCCUGAUGGAGGGGGAUAACUCCUGGAAACGGUAUCUCAUACCGCAUACCAUCAGAUGUGCCCAGCUGGGAUUAGCUCGUAGGUGGGGUAUGGUCUCAACUAGGCGACGAUCCCUCGCUGGUAUGAGAGGAUGACCAGCCACACUGGAACUGAGACACGGGCCAGAAGCCUACGGGAGGCAGCAGUGGGGAAUAUUGCACAAUGGGCGCAAGCCUGAUGCAGCCAUGCCGCGUGUAGGAAGAAGGCCUUCGGGUUGUAAAGUACUUUCAGCGGGGAGGCGUUACCCGCAGAAGAAGCACCGGCUAACUCCGUGCCAGCAGCCGCGGUAAUAC